CCGGCGACCGACGCACGGGUGAGUAACACGUAUGCGACCUGCCCCCCGCAGGGGGAUAACCGGGAGAAAUCCCGACUAAUACCGCGUAACGCCGCGGACCUGCAUGGGUCUGCGGCCAAAGGAAGCGAUUCCGGCGGGGGAUGGGCAUGCGGCGCAUUAGCUAGUCGGCGGGGUAACGGCCCACCGAGGCGACGAUGCGUAGGGGUUCUGAGAGGAAGGUCCCCACACUGGUACUGAGACACGGACCAGACUCCUACGGGAGGCAGCAG
rnacentral:rRNA from 1 species